AGCGAACGCUGGCGGCGUGCCUAACACAUGCAAGUCGAACGUGAAAGGGAGCAAUCCCCAGUAAAGUGGCGUACGGGUGAGUAACACGUAGGUAAUCUACCCCAGAAUCUGGAAUAACCGGCCGAAAGGCUGGCUAAUACUGGAUAGAGCGACGGAAUCCGUAAUUGGGUUUUUCGGGAAAGGGAGCCUGUAAAAAGGCCUUCGUUCUGGGAUGAGCCUGCGUCCCAUCAGCUAGUUGGUGAGGUAAAAGCUUACCAAGGCAAUGACGGGUAGCUGGUCUGGGAGGACGGUCAGCCAAACUGGGACUGAAGCACGGUCCAGGAUCCUACGGGGGGCAGCAGUGGGGGAUCUUGCGCAAUGGACGGAAGUCUGAAGGAGCAACGCCGGGUGGGUGAAGGAGGCCUUCGGGUUGUAAAGCUCUGUCGAGUGGGACGAAAAUGCUUGGAGUUCACAGCUGCAGGAACUGACGGUACCACUAAAGGAAGCACCGGCUAACUCCGUG
rnacentral:rRNA from 1 species